CUGGAAUGGGCAAUGACUUAAAUCUAUAUGGCCCCUGGAUUGGACUGCGGCCGAUCAGGCUGUUGGUGAGGUAAUGGCCCACCAAACCUGUAACCGGUACGGGCUCUGAGAGGAGGAGCCCGGAGAUGGGCACUGAGACAAGGGCCCAGGCCCUAUGGGGCGCAGCAGGCGCGAAACCUCUGCAAUAGGCGAAAGCCUGACAGGGUUACUCUGAGUGAUUUCCGUUAAGGAGAUCUUUUGGCACCUCUAAAAAUGGUGCAGAAUAAGGGGUGGGCAAGUCUGGUGUCAGCCGCCGCGGUAAUACCAGCACCCCGAGUGGUCGGGACGUUUAUUGGCCCUAAAGCAUCCGUAGCCGGUUCUGCAAGUCUUCCGUUAAAUCCACCUGCUUAACAGAUGGGCUGCGGAAGAUACUAUAGAGCUAGGAGGCGGGAGAGGCAAGCGGUACUCGAUGGGUAGGGGUAAAAUCCGUUGAUCCAUUGAAGACCACCAGUGGCGAAGGCGGCCUGCCAGAACGCGCUCGACGGUGAGGGAUGAAAGCUGGGGGAGCAAACCGGAUUAGAUACCCGGGUAGUCCCAGCUGUAAACGAUGCAGACUCGGUGAUGAAUUGGCUUUAUGCCAAUUCAGUGCCGCAGGGAAGCCGUUAAGUUUGCCGCCUGGGGAGUACGGUCGCAAGACUGAAACUUAAAGGAAUUGGCGGGGGAGCACCACAAGGGGUGAAGCCUGCGGUUCAAUUGGACUCAACGCCGGU
rnacentral:rRNA from 1 species